CACGUAGGGUGCGAGCGUUGUCCGGAAUUAUUGGGCGUAAAGAGCUCGUAGGCGGUGUGUCGCGUCGGCCGUGAAAACCUGCAGCUUAACCGUGGGCGUGCGGUCGAUACGGGCAUCACUGGAGUUCGGCAGGGGAGACUGGAAUUCCUGGUGUAGCGGUGAAAUGCGCAGAUAUCAGGAGGAACACCGGUGGCGAAGGCGGGUCUCUGGGCCGAUACUGACGCUGAGGAGCGAAAGCGUGGGGAGCGAACAGG
rnacentral:rRNA from 1 species